UGUGUGUGUGCUGGUGUGAGAAAUGUCUGCCCCUUACUAGCUGAGACUCAACCCGGGCAGCAUUGAGAUGAGACCUCCAAGCCCCGAGGAGCUUGCUAUUCCAUUAUUAUAGCUUCACCAUGGGCAGCUGAGGCUGAAACCACUCAGCCUGUGAGUCUCCUCCUGAACAUCCCUCUGCCUCCCGAUGAACUUCCUCAAUCACCCACAGGCACUGUGGGAGUCUGAGCCACAAGGUGAAGAGGGUUUAGUACACCCCACGUAGUAAGCAGAGCGUAGAGUGGCUUCGGUGUAUGUGUGAAGAAACACAGAGCUCGGGGGUGUUUGUAAGAUAGAACUAGGUGCUGUGAAGAGGUGACGGUGAAACAAGGAUCGUGGCAAAGGUGAUUUUUCUUUUGCAUUUACAGUUUUCUCAGGGGGCCUGUUUGCCAUGUGUUUUGCUGUUGCUCUGUCUGUCUCUCUGUCUCCCUCUGUCUCUCUGUGUGUAUUUGUCUCUGUUUCUCUGUCUUAUUGUGUGUGUGUGUGUGUGUGCCUGUGUACGUGUGUGUGUGUGUGUGUGUGUGUGUGUGUGUGUGCGCUCGCGAGUGCACAUGUCUUGAGGAGUCUUGUUGAAGGUCAGUGUGAAGUUCACCCCACGUAGACACUCAGCAAGGGGAGCCAUGGGGACCAUUGCCCCAGCCUCCCCAAGAACUAGAAGACCAGGCUGCAAGCACGUUACCUUUCAUUUCCAAUGAGUCAUCAGGCUUUUUUUUUUUUUUUUAAUUUCUAUAUGAUUCUUGGGGGAGAGAAAAAAAUGAUGAUGGCCAAAUAAGGAAGGAAACAGAAGAAGUGAAGGCCACCGUCUUCCUCAUCAACUCUAGAGAAAGAAAAGCCCAAGCCAGAAGGCCAACUCAACUCCCUUAAGAGACCUCACACAGUUUUAACAGCGCAUCAGACCACUUACAGGGUAAACUUCAUCUUACUUCAGGAACCUGAAGAUGGAUUUGGGGGAGUUCCUGGAUCUCUCUGAAUAAAUCUCCUUUUUCUGCCUCUCACUAUUGAUUUGGUUCUUGAUUGCCUGACUGAAGAUGAGUGGCU